rnacentral:rRNA from 1 species
UACGAAGGGUGCAAGCGUUAAUCGGAAUUACUGGGCGUAAAGCGUGCGUAGGUGGUCUUUUAAGUCCGUCGUGAAAUCCCCGGGCUUAACCUGGGAAUGGCGAUGGAGACUGCAAGGCUAGAGUUUGGCAGAGGGGGGUAGAAUUCCACGUGUAGCAGUGAAAUGCGUAGAGAUGUGGAGGAACACCGAUGGCGAAGGCAGCCCCCUGGGUCAAGACUGACGCUCAUGCACGAAAGCGUGGGGAGCAAACAGG